rnacentral:lncRNA from 10 species
GUCUCUAACUCCACAAAUUUCAACAUGCAUACAAAUCAAGAAGGGGUGGGGGUGUUACAUGCAAAUUCUGCUUCAGUGGGUGUUGGAGCCUGAGAUUCUGGCUUUCUAACAAGCUCCCAGGUAAGUGCUGAUGCUGCUGCUUUGAGGGCCACACACCUUGAGGAGUAGGAAGAGUACUCAUACUGGAAGAGUAUUCAGCACGGACUGGAAUCCUGCAUACAUAUCUGAGCUCUGUGUUCUGGUUUCUCUUAUUGCCUGGAUCCAAGAGCAUCUCCUGGGUUCUUCCUGUUAGAAUACUGAAUGUCCAUGGAGAGUUUAACAUAAGGAAGAAGAGGCCUGUCUCCCAGCUGAAACUGGUGCAGCAGAUCAUGCAAAGUAAAACCUCAGCAGCUGUGAUGAAGUAGAGCAGAGGGCCUGGGUGUCUGUCAGCUCCAAGCGGAAGAUUUCCCCAGCUUUCUAGGUAACUGUGCUUCCACUGAGCAAGCCAGACACAGACUUGAAUGUCAUCACAAUCUGUGCCUGUGACAUCUUUCCCCAAGAAUAGCACAAAUUGAACUUUUACAUUCUUCAUAAUAUGGAAGGAAAGAUUUCUGACUUCAUAUCUGUGGGAUCCACACAAUGGGGAGGUACUGGCCUUGGAAUCCAUGGUUCCCCAGCUAUCAUUUUACUUUAGAAUUACAGUGUUCUCUGUUAGUGUCAAGGGAAUGAACCUGACGAGAAAAGACCAAACAUAGGACUGUUACAGGGAAGAAAAAUAUGAAAAGACCUAAAGAUGCACGUCCUCAUUAUAUGUAAGGAAUCUAUUUCCUAGAAUCCUAUAAAAAGCUCAAGUGAAUUUGCUUCAGUUAAUAAAUGUGAUUUAAUUAUAAUGAUAAUGCCACAGCAUAUGUUUUGUUUCCUCUUUUUGAAUUGCUCCCUGUUAAUUAUUGAGAGAAGAAAUUCAGUGUAACUUUUUUGUAAUCUGAUAAUGAUGAGGCUGUCUCAUGUGUUCCUUAUGUGCUUCACAAUGUAUGCGUAUGUGUGUGUAUAUAGUUAAGUUGAAGAAGACGGCCAUGUGUGGGCGCUACAGACAGAUGUAAGGCUAAAGAAAGGGCUCCAUGGUGUUAGAGCAAAACCUCAUGAUAAAAAGCUCUUUUUUAUACUUAGGACCUGAUUGUAUUGGGAGGAAAAACAAACAUUCAGUCUUGGAAUGACCUGAAAAACCUGUGGUAUGAACCUACUCCCCUUUCCUCACCCUGGGAUUAGAAUGAAGUUCUACAGUUCAGCUAAGGUGACCAAUUCACUUUGGUUCAUCCAUGUUCCAUGUCUCAGGAAGACAGGAAGAGUCUGGGCUACCCUAGGUUCAG